rnacentral:rRNA from 1 species
GACGAACGCUGGCGGCGUGCUUAACACAUGCAAGUCGAGCGGUAAGGCCCUUUCGGGGGUACGACGAGCGGCGAACGGGUGAGUAACACGUGGGUGACCUGCCUUUAGUCUCUGGGAGUAAGCCUGGGAAACGUAGGGUCUAAUACCGGAUAUGACUCCGCGGUGCAUGCUGUGGGGUGGAAAGCCUUGUGCGGCUGGAGAUGGGCCCGCGGCCUAUCAGCUUGUUGGUGGGGUGAUGGCCUACCAAGGCGACGACGGGUAGCCGGCCUGAGAGGGCGACCGGCCACACUGGGACUGAGACACGGCCCAGACUCCUACGGGAGGCAGCAGUGGGGAAUCUUGCGCAAUGGGCGAAAGCCUGACGCAGCGACGCCGCGUGAGGGAUGACGGCCU